rnacentral:rRNA from 1 species
UCUAAACCUUUCUUGCGAUGUUAGUGAGCGUUUUCGAUGGAUACGGCUACAAUAUCUCAAGUUGUGGUCAUUACAGAUGAAUGAGUUAUGUAAUUCGAACGAUCAUACAUAGAAAUUGAGGGUUUUUAGUUGUUUUCGUAUCUGUUUUUAUCCUUCUGCGCAUUUAGAAGUCAUUUCUGCGUCAAUUUUGAUUUUACUUGAAAAUUUGUCGUGCAUUCCCUAUGAAAUCAUUAGUAUAGUAACAAAAAGCGAUCCAAACAAGAUCCGUCCCACUUUUUUUUUUUWUYUYUUUCUCUUYYUUUCUUUUCUAUUUGUUUCUUUUUUAAUUGUUAAAUGAUAACUUARAAAGGCAUUCGCAAAAUGAGUUAUACUACAAAUAGUGUGCGAAUG